GACGAACGCUGGCGGCGUGCUUAACACAUGCAAGUCGAACGGAAAGGCCCUGCUUUUGUGGGGUGCUCGAGUGGCGAACGGGUGAGUAACACGUGAGUAACCUGCCCUUGACUUUGGGAUAACUUCAGGAAACUGGGGCUAAUACCGGAUAGGAGCUCCUGCUGCAUGGUGGGGGUUGGAAAGUUUCGGCGGUUGGGGAUGGACUCGCGGCUUGUCAGCUUGUUGGUGGGGUAGUGGCUUACCAAGGCUUUGACGGGUAGCCGGCCUGAGAGGGUGACCGGCCACCUUGGGACUGAGAGACGGCCCAGACUCCUACGGGAGGCAGCAGUGGGGAAUAUUGCACAAUGGGCGGAAGCCUGAUGCGGCAACGCCGCGUGCGGGAUGACGGCCUUCGGGUUGUAAACCGCUUUCGCCUGUGACGAAACGUGAGUGACGGUAAUGGGUAAAGAAGCACCGGCUAACUACGUG
rnacentral:rRNA from 1 species